CAGUCGCCGCGGGAAUACGGAGGGUGCAAGCGUUAAUCGGAAUUACUGGGCGUAAAGCGUGCGCAGGCGGUGUUGUAAGACUGAUGUGAAAUCCCCGGGCUCAACCUGGGAACUGCAUUGGUGACUGCAACGCUGGAGUGCGGCAGAGGGGGAUGGAAUUCCGCGUGUAGCAGUGAAAUUCGUAGAUAUUCGGAAGAACACCAGUGGCGAAGGCGGCUUACUGGCUCAUACUGGACGCUGAGGUGCGAAAGCAUGGGGAGCGAACAGGAUUAGAUACCCGCGUAGUCCCUGUCUCUUAUAA
rnacentral:rRNA from 1 species